GAGCCUGCGGUAGGCGUCAGGGUCGCUUUCGGAAAGGUCGUCCAGCAUAGACCAAAACUGACUGGCCUGCUGCAAAACAUCUUCUGCAUCGCCGGUGGAGUACAUCCUGGAGUGACUGCUUGCGAGUUUGCAAUUACUAAGAUCCAGCCCAGGAAUUCAGACACUUUGGUGUAAACUCCAGGAUGGUUGGGCUCAGCACAGCCAGUCCCCCAGCUGACAACCCCUACAAGCCUCCACACAUUGUCAUCGUGGCAAACCAGAGGACCCCCACUGUCCCCCUACAGAGGUUGUGUCCCUUGGUCCCCGUUCCUGAUUUGCCACAGAGGCACAUGAUGAGGCCACACUUAUUGACAAAGUAGCAGGUGACGUCCACGGCCAGCAGCAGGAGUAGAAAGGCCACCACCAGGAUCCCGGCCCAGAUCACGAU